rnacentral:rRNA from 1 species
CAGUCGCCACGGUAAUACGUAGGUGGCAAGCGUUGUCCGGAAUUAUUGGGCGUAAAGCGCGCGCAGGCGGCCUAUCCAGUCUGUCUUAAAAGUUCGGGGCUCAACCCCGUGAUGGGAUGGAAACUAGUAGGCUAGAGUAUCGGAGAGGAAGGCGGAAUUCCUAGUGUAGCGGUGAAAUGCGUAGAUAUUAGGAAGAACACCAGUGGCGAAGGCGGCUUUCUGGACGAAAACUGACGCUGAGGCGCGAAAGCCAGGGGAGCGAACGGGAUUAGAGACCCGCGUAGUCCCUGUCUCUUAUACA